CCUUGGUGGCUCAGAUGGUAAAGAAUCUGCCUGCAAUGCAGGAGACCCAGGUUCAAUCCCUGGAUCGGGAA
rnacentral:tRNA from 1 species